rnacentral:rRNA from 1 species
AUUGAACGCUGGCGGCAGGCCUAACACAUGCAAGUCGAACGAGUGGCGGACGGGUGAGUAAUGUCUGGGAAACUGCCUGAUGGAGGGGGAUAACUACUGGAAACGGUAGCUAAUACCGCAUACCAUCGGAUGUGCCCAGAUUGGAUGAGCUAGUAGGUGGGGUAAAGGCUCACCUAGGCGACGAUCCCUAGCUGGUCUGAGAGGCUUACCAGCCACACGUGAACAGUGAAACGGCCCAGACUCCUACGGGAGGCAGCAGUGGGUAAUAUUGGACAAGGGGCGAAAGUCUGAUGCAGCCAUGCCGCGUGUAUGAAGAAGGCUUUCGGGUUGUAAAGUACUUUUAGCAGGGAGGCGUUACCCGCAGAAUAAGCACCGGCUAACUCCGUGCCAGCAGCCGCGGUAAUAC